rnacentral:rRNA from 1 species
CGAGCGCAACCACAUCUUUAGUUGCCAUCAGGUUAUGCUGGGACUCUAGAGAAACUGCCCGUGAUAAGCGGGAGGAAGGUGUGGAUGACGUCAAGUCCUCAUGGCCCUUACGGGUUGGGCUACACACGUGCUACAAUGGCCUACAAUGGGAAUCUCCAAAAGUCUCAGUUCGGAUUGGGGUCUGCAACUCGACCCCAUGAAGUCGGAAUCGCUAGUAAUCGCGUAACAGAUGACGCGGUGAAUACGUUCCCGGGCC